AAGAUGGCUCUGCUGCCCAGAGCUCCCUCCUAGCACUUACAAACACUGACAGCUCUCUGCUCUGCCCCCACCCAGGGACAGUGUCCUGCCGUAGCACCCAGGCGUGGUACAGGGUGAGUGCGAAGCUGGGGGUGUGUGGGAGUUGCCAAUACAGUACUUUGCAGAGGAAGAUAAGCAAGGUAGUGAAUUUGCACAGCUCCUGGGAGUGUCGCUGACUGCGUUUGCUGUUUUGGCUGCUGCUCCUUCCCGAGGGUGCCCUUCCUCAUAGCUUACGGCGCUGCGGUCUGGUGGCAACCUGCUGCUGGGGAGGGCGUGACGGGGCCCGCCUAGCUCACAGCUGCGGUGUAAGCCUGCAAAACUGCUUUAUGCUCAGCCUGAGGUUUCUGUUACCAGCUCCCAUUGCGGGCCCUGGGAAGAUGCCUAGAGGAGUUGGGUUCACUGGCCAGCACUUUCCAGGGAAGCCUUCAAACAGGUCGUGCUCGUAACUUGAAAUGAGUUGAGGACAGAUGAUUGGGGACUGAGCAUGGCCGUACAUGGCCUUGACUGACCUUUGCUUGAACUUGAGGAGCUGCAGCAUGAGUCGACGUGCACAUGCCUCUCUCAACCCUGCAAGCAAAGCAAAUGCUGAGAAACAGCAAGGGACAAGCACAAGCUCUCGUUCCACGUCCUUUACGCAGGACAUCUGUUUCCACAGAAAGGUAGUGAGCUGCAGAUGGCUCCUGGCACAGGAAUUUAGAAACAACCUGCUAUGGAAGAACUGUGAGCGGCUGGGGAGUUGUUUAGUGCCCUUGCUACAGCUACAGUUGGGACAGGGUGCCACGCACAGAUCCAGGCUGGCAGGACUAACUCUGCUUUGAAAACCAUAAGCAUCUGCUUUGUCAUGUACUGUGGUGACUCCAGUGUUUGCUUCAUUAUUGUGUAGUUGUGAUUAUUCUGUUUUCUUUCUUGGUUACACCUAUUAUCUCAUGCAAAAAUGACCAGAUAAAAUGGAACGAUCCCCUUAUCCGGUGUCUCUGGAAAAAAGUGUGGUUUUUCAUUUACAGAUUAGCCAGAAUAUUUCAUACUUGCAUUUUCCAUAAUCUUGGUGAAUUCUUUCAAAAGCAAACUGACUAAGUAUAAUGUGACACCCUCUCCUCCCCUGCUCUCAGCAGGUCUGUUUCUGUCCUAUGCAAUCCAUUUUCUACGCUUCUAAACAAAUUUCUGGUCUGCUCAUUUUAUCCAAACUCUGUCCUUGUUCCACUCAGUUCCAUCCUCCUAAACUCCCUCAAGUCCUCUCCUUUUCUAAUCUUAUAGUCUCUACUUAUCUUUGCUCAAAAAGCCAAAUCUUGCUUUCAAUUCAGCCAUGAUCUCAGAUUUUUUCACCUCCUUUUUAAGUAAGUAUAUUCAUACUUUCUCCUAUGCUACUAUUCAGGCUUGGGAGCAGUCUCCCACAGACACCCAUGAGCUCAGCUCACUUCCAGGCUCCUCUUAAAACUCCUUUGCAAAAAGUCAAAUGACAACAGUUAAAUUACUGAUUUGCUGAGAUUCUUGUCAGAUUCUUCCUGCUCCUCUGUUCCCAUUACCUGUUUCUCUUCUUGUACUUGGAAACUAUUGGUAGCACAUACCAACUCUGAAUUUCAUUUGAGAGUUGCAUUCACUUCCUAUGGCCAAAGCAUCCCUUUAAAUACAGAAACAGCAGAAAUGUAAAAAUUAAACCCAAAGGGUUUAAAAUAUGCACACAUAUAUAUAAAGAAUAUAUAUAUAGGUGCAUGCCUAUAUAAAUAUAUAUACACACACACAUAUAUAAUGUGUUUGUGUGUUCAUACACCUCUCCUAAUACAUUAGUAUUUGUACUCAAUUAUAUAAAAUACCUAUUGCUAUGGCUACUCAGGUAAAGGAAAGCCAAUCUACAUUAGGUUUUCUUUGUGGAAGAACACAAGAAAUUAAAUGUAUUCAUGUAUCAAAGAAAAUAUCAGUUCAAAUAAAUACUGUGCAUUUAUUUAUCUUUGAACA
ensembl:lncRNA